ensembl:rRNA 5S_rRNA 5S ribosomal RNA
UGCUACAGUCAUAUCACCCUGCAGCCCAAGACUGGUUGCUCACUGAAGCUAAGCAAGCUUGAGCCCGGUCAGUAUCUGGAUGGGAGACCACAUUAAAAAACAAGGUUGCUGUUGGUA